rnacentral:rRNA from 1 species
UAUCUGCCGUGGGCGCUGGAGAAUUGAGGGGGGCUGCUCCUAGUACGAGAGGACCGGAGUGGACGCAUCACUGGUGUUCGGGUUGUCAUGCCAAUGGCACUGCCCGGUAGCUAAAUGCGGAAGAGAUAAGUGCUGAAAGCAUCUAAGCACGAAACUUGCCCCGAGAUGAGUUCUCCCUGAGACUUAAAGUCUCCUGAAGGAACGUUGAAGACGACGACGUUGAUAGGUCGGGUGUGUAAGCGCAGCGAUGCGUUGAGCUAACCGAUACUAAUGAACCGUGAGGCUUAACCUUACAACGCCGAAG